CAAGUUUAUUUUAGAUUUGCCUUAAAUACUCACUUAAUGAAUGGAAAGACUUGUGGACAAUUUAGUGACACAUAUCGAUGUGCUUGACAUUUUGCCAUAGGUGACAACUCAAAUGUUACAGCUCCUAGUCCUUUACCAAGUAGUGGGAAAAUACUAGAUGAAUUCGACGAGCCUCUAUCCUCUGGAAAAUCGUCAACACGGAGUGGCCUAUUAAAUCUUGUCUCAAUCCCUUCAAUAUACUGGGAACAAAAAGUAAGAGCAUCUUCAGCUAGAUAUCUAGUUGUGACAUGUUUCGCACAUAGGAUUUUAAGUGUCCCAAAUACCUAAACAAAAGAUCAAAAUUAGUUGAUGGAUACAAAUAAUAUCUAUUCUUAAUGAACAAGCUCCAAUCAAGUAAUAAGAAAUAUUUUUUACCUCUCAAUAGUAUACAUACCGACACUGUUGAUGUCCCCCAAGUUUUGCUUCACCAGCUAGAUGACAAGUUAAAUGAACCGUGAUUGUAAAAAAUGUAGGAGGAAAUAACAUUUUCAAGUAAUUCAUGGUGAUAAAUUAUCGAGACUAGAUCCUGUCAAGAUCUAAGGGACUUAAGCUUUUGGCACAGAGUUGACAGAAGAACGAACUCAACUCUAUUAAUACUGCAGUCACCUUGUCUGGUAAAACACUACGUAUGGCAAUUGGUAACAAGUGUUGCAUGAGAAUGUGAAAAUCAUGACUCUUAAUUGACUUGAGCUUUUGUUGUUUCAAGUCGACACAUCUUGAAAUGUUGCUAGCGUAUCCAUCAGGCAUUUUGACAUUCUUUAAAGUCCGCAAAAAUAUUUCUUUCUUAAAUCCACUUUUCUUUGAAUUUAAAAGAGUGAACAAGGCUGGGCGAUAGCUUCCAUUCUCAUCUGCCCAAAGUUCUUACCUUAUACCCAUUUCUCUAAGAUUAUUGCGAGCUUUAAGAUUGUCUUUUGACUUUUCAGUAUCAUUAAGCAAAGUAUAUAUCACAUUCUCACACACAUUCUUCUCAAUGUGCAUAAGGUCUAGAUUAUGACACAACAAGUUAGAUUCCUAAUAAGGAAGAUAAAAAAAUAUGCUUCUCUUUCUCCACUGUUUCGGUCUAUCUUCAGCAAUAGUUUUUCCUCGAGUUCUUUUACCUUUGGCAUUCGACUCAGGUACUUUCCCAAAAUUGGCAUUGAUUCCCUCCAUUUGUUACAAGAUGUGUGACCCUUAUAAUGCUAUCGGUGGAUCCUGUUGCUCAGUUUUCCCAUUAAAACGGACACGCUGCAAUCUAAACUGAUUGCCGCUUUCAAAAAAAUGAUGAUGACCCAUGAAACACCAUUUUCUACUAUGUUUUAACCUGGAAGAGUCUGUUUCAAAGUUACACGUGGACAAGCAAACUGACUGUAUGUGUUCUAUCCAGAUAAGGUGCCAAGCCCAGGAAAAUCACUAAUCGUCCACAUCAAGGUUGUUCGCAUUUUAAAUAUUUCAUUCUUUGAAGAGACUAAUGUCUGCACUCCAUCGUACCACAAUUCUCUCAACUCUUGAUAAGAGGUAGUAAGUAAACAUCUAUAUCAUUGCCGGGCAUUUGUUUUCUUGGAAUGAUCAUUGAAAGAAUGAAUGAAGUUUGUUUCAUGCACUCCCAAGGAGGACGAUUGUAUGGAAUAAGAACCACAGGCCAAAUACUAUAGUUUGUUGCCAUUGCUCUAAAAGGAUUGAAACUGUCACUAGCUAGGUCUAGUCGUACAUUCCGAGGAUCUAUAGCAAAUUCAGGAUAAAGCAAGUCAAAUGCUUUCCAAGCCUGAGAAUCUCUUGGAUGCCUCAUCAAUCCAUCUUGGUUACCAGCUGAAGAAUGCCAUCUCAUAGACUCAGCAGUUUUAGAGCACAUGAACAAUCUCCGUAGCCUUGGCUUUAGUGGAAAGUAGCGCAAAAUCUUUGUGGGCUGCUUCUUUUUAUUGUCUUUCCACCUAUAUGUCUUGCACUUUUUACAUUCUUGUAAACCUUCAUCUUCCCCAAAAUAUAACAUACAAUCAUUUGGGCAAGCAUGGAUCUUGGUAUAAUUAAGGCCAAGUUUGUUGAUGGUUUUCUUGGCCUCAUAAAAAGAAACAGGAAUCUUGGCAUCUUUAAAGGCAUCUUUUAACAAUUCUAAUAUCAUACUCAUCGCUUUGUCAUCCAUUCGGCACAAACACUUGAUAUGAUACAAUUUGACUAGAAAAGACAAUUUGGAAUACUUCACGCACCCUUCAUAUAAUGGUUGAUUGCCAUCUUCGACCAGUUCAUAGAACUUUGCAUAUUCUUCAUUAUGCCCAUAAAUAUGCCCUUUAUUAAAUGUUUCUUCACUAUUCAUAGGCUCAUAAGACACACCAAGCUCAUUGAUAUUGUUCCCCAUGAACCCAAAUGCAUCGUUAACCAUGGUUACCAUUAGAUCUUGGGGCUGCAGAGUUUCUUCUAUGACAUGUGUGCUAUGAAAUGUUUGUGGCAUAGUUGCAUUUGAUUCUUCAUCAUGCAAAUACCAAACUUUAUAAUUUCUUGGAAAAGGCUUACAAGUCAGGUAUUUUUCAACUACAUUUCUUCUUUGCCACUUCUUAAAACCACAUUUCGGACACGGACACUUAAUUACAUGUCCAUCAUAGACCCAUACUCAAAAGCAAAAUCUAGAAAUUUUCUAAGCCCAUCCGCAUAUUCAAGUUUAUUUCAUGGUUUGCUAAUCCAAGAUUUAUCAAUUGGCAUGGCAAGAAAAGAAGAUAUAAGAUAACAUCACAAUAUCAAAAUGAAAAAGCUAGUUCAUAGCCAAUAUAUAGAAAUCAAAAGAAUAGUAAUUAUUUAAUCUCACUUUUUAACUUCUGGAGAAUAAACGGAAAUCAAAGCAAGAAAUAAACAAAGAAAAGAACAUGUGUAACUUAUUCAAGGAAAAAUAAAAACUACAACAUGCAUGAACUAUCCAUAUCUUCAAAUUAGUUUUGGAACAUACAAGAAUCCAAGUACUUUAAAGAUUGAACCAUAAAGAGACUGUCACCAUCAUAACGUGUGAUGACCCAAAAGGUCAUCAAUUGUUUUAGAAAUAAAUUCUGUAUUUCAAGGCCUUAAAAUCUCCUUUUUGUGUCACCUCGAUUUGUGUGCACAGUCCAGGCGUGUAUCCGGAAAGCCAUUAUGUGAAAAUCUGUGAAAAAUAAUGAAUUUUGCUUUUAAAAUGAAUUUAGGUUGACUCUGAUCUACAUUUUGGGUAAACGAACCCGGACUCAUGAUUUGACGGUCCCGGAGGGUCCGUAGAAAAAUAUGGGACUUGGGCGUAUGCCCGGAAUCGAAUUUCGAGGUCCCAAGCCCGAAAAAAUAAUUUUUUAAGGAAACUUGUUUUCUAGAAUAUAUAUGAGUUUUUGAAAAUGAAAUAUGUUCGAAUUUGAUGGAAUCGGGCCCGUAUUUUGGUUUCAGAGCCUGGUAUAGGUCUUAUAUGGGAUUUAAGUUGAGCCUGUAAAAGUUGGUAAGAAACGGACUUGAAAUGACGUGAAUUGGACCUUCGGUUGUUAAAAUUUGAACUUAAGAGUUCAUGAGAUAGUUCUUUGAUUUUGAUGCUAAAUUCAUAGCUAUUGAUAUUAUUUUGAUGAUUUGAUCGUACAAGCAAGUCCAUAUGAUAUUUUUGGACUUGCGUGCAUGUUUGGUUUGGAGCCCCGAAGGCUCGGAAGAGUUUUGGAUAGGCCACAGAGUGAAAUUUGGACUUAGGAAAUUGUUGUUGUGUUGCAGGUCUGCAGGUUGCGAAGCCUGACUCGCAAAUGCGAAAUUUGUAUCGCAAAUGCGAAGAUGUCCUAGGCUUCCUUGGUCGCAAAUGCGACGUAUUCAUUGCAAUUGUGAUAUAGCAAAUGCGACUGCAACAUCGCAAAUGCGAAGAGAACAGGAAUCCUCAGGGUUCGCAAAUGCGAACCCCUGAUCACAAAUGCGCAGAUAGCAGGUUUCUUAAGAUUUCACAAUUGCGAACCCUGGUCGCAAUUGCAACAUCUGCAACCUGCUAAAUCAUAACUUAGACACAUUUUCAACCAUUUUUCAAACCUUUUCAAAAAUUAAACACCUUUGGGCGAUUUUUCAAAGACAAAUACUCUUCCAAAUUGAUUGUAAGUCAUUUCUAACUCAUUUUCAUUAAUCUUUAACAUCUUUCCACAUGAUUUCAACUCAAAAUCAAGGGUUUUCAUGGGGAAAAUUGGGUGUUUGGGUAGAACAUAGGUUUUUCAAAUUUUGGAGAUUUGGACCUCGAUUUGAGGUCCUAUUUCAAAACAAAUUAUAUAUUUGGGUUCGUGGGUGAAUGGGUAAUCGGGUUUUGGUUCGAACCUCGAAUUUUGACCCUGUGGGCCCGAGGUCGNNNNNNNNNNNNNNNNNNNNNNNNNAAGUAACUUGUGGCUAGAUACAAGCGAAUUGGUGGUGGAAUCAAGAGGUAAAGCGGUAGUUGAGGCUUGAAUUGUGUUCGUGGCAUCGAGGUAAGUGUUUGGUCUAACCUUAUCUUGAGGGAUUAGGAGUUGUGUCCUAUUUUUUAUGUGUUAGGUGUUGAGUACGAUGUAUAGGCAUUGGUGACGAGUAUUUAUACAUUGGUGUUAAGCAUGCCCGUGAGUCUUAUACUAUGAUUAAUGUGACUCCGUUUUGUAUUGUUCAUACCUUAUGUGAUGGUUUCUGUUGUUGAACAAGGCUUGUGGAAGUAAUAUUGGUAUUUGAACAUUGAAGAGCAUUGACUCAAGUUGUAAAAUGAAUUGUGGAAGUAUUAUUGGCAAGUGAACAUUUUAGAGCAUUGGCUCAAGUUGUGAAUUGAGUUGUGAAGUAAAUGUGAAAAAAGAAGACGAUUAUGAUAUUGUCUCCCUUGCCGGAAUGUUGUUGUUUUUAAUGUUAUCUCCCUUUCCAGGAUGUUAUUACUUUUGAUAUUGUUUCCCUAGUCGGGAUAUUAUUGUUGUACUAUUGUUCCCUUACCUGGAUUUUAUUGUGAUUUUAUUGAUUCCCUUGCCCAAAUUGCUUUGUGAUUGUUGCUUGAGUGAGGAAGAGUGCAAAUCAAGAAGGGUGAUGUCGUUCAUGAUAUUUGUGAGAGAGUUUUAAUGCACGAAGGGUGAUGUCGUGCCGCACGAUGUAUCAUUCUGUGCCUUUAUAGGAGUGAUAAUGCACGAAGGAUCAUUCUGUGCCAUGAUUAUGUGAGGUAAAAGCAUGAAGGGCGAUGCCGUCCCGAUUAUAUUGAUUCUUAUGGUGAGGACGAGAGUAAAAGCACGAAGGGUGAUGCUGUGCACUUGUCCUUGAUUUUCCUAAUUCUUGUUGAUAAUUGAGUUAUGGUGUUCUUUACGUUUAUUUACUGAUUUUUGUUGUUACUUGAUUUUAUUGUGAUGUUAUUGAUUCCUUUGCCCAAAUUACUUUGUGAUUGUUACUUGGUUGAGGAAGAGUGUAAAGCACGAAGGGUGAUGUCGUGCAUGAUAUUUGUGAGAAAGUGUUAAAGCACGAAGGGUGAUGUCGUGCACUUGUCUUUGAUUUCCUGAUUUUCAUUAAUAACUGAGUUAUGGCUUCUCUACAUUUAAAUGUUGGUUUUCUGUUGAUACUUGUUGUACCCCGCAGCAUGAUUGCCCCUUCCUAUCUUUAAUUGUGAAGUUCUGCCUUUAUUUUUCGAUGUAUAUGAUUUAAAUGCACAGGUUUAUUUGGUAGUCUGGUCCUAGCCUCGUCACUACUUCGCCGAGGUUAGGCUAGGCACUUACCAGCACAUGGGGUCGGUUGUGAUGAUACUACACUCUGCACUAUGUGCAGAUCCCAGUGUUGUAGCUUUUGGACCACUGUGAGGUUGCUACCUUCAGUCCAACAGGCGACCCAAGGUAGUCCUGCUGGCGUCCGCAGGCCUUGGCGUCUCCUCCUAUCUUUUCAUUCUGUUUCUUUCAUGUAUUCCAGAGAUAGCGUUGUAUUAAGUUUUCAGACCUUUAUUUGUAGUAUUCCUAGACAGUUUGUGAAAUUGUGACACCAGUUCUGGGUAGUCUAUGUUUAAGGAAUUGUAUUAGUAAUAUUUAAAUAAUUAUAUUUUGUUCUUCUGCUUAUUAAAUUCCGCUGUUUAUAUAAUGUUGGUUCUUAAUUGCUAAAGGAUUAAAAUGAGGAAAAGGUAAAUAAUUCAAAUGGUUGACUUGCCUAACUUUCACUAGUAGGCGCCAUCAUGACUGUCGAGGGUGGGAAAUUUGGAUCGUGACAUAACGAAUGUUAUCAGGAUAUCCAGGCAAAUUCUCAACAAACACAUCCACAGAUCCUUUGGAAUGGAAAUACUUGAACCGAAGUCAAGGUGCCCGGUAAAGAAAUACUAAAAGAAUUGAAGACUUGUUAAGUCGUCAUACUGCUAUGAGGCUGAAGUGAGAAUAGCAAUCCCAAACAGCAAUAUGACCAAAUACUUAACAUACUUGUCAUUCUUGUUUGAAUCAGUUUUUAUUCAUGAGCUCAUCUGUAUACAGUCUUAUUAAGAAAUGUAUCUAGUCAUGCUAACAAAUUGUGCCUUAAAUAUUAAGCAGCAGUGAGAAUCCACAACAACAUUCUCAAACCUUUUGCCCUAGGUUAGACACUCAGAUUCCACACACUCAAAGCACCAAAGUUCUUUCAUGUAACUUUAAGGAUCUAGUUACAGUAAACUCUUUUUAAAAGCUUAUACACUCAGGAAAUGGCCCUCCAAUACACGACGAAUAUAGCUAGCCAGAUAUUAAUUUUUAAGCUUCUCCCUUGUGUCAAAAGAUAGAACAGGAGCAUUUCGUUCAGUAAAGAUAAGCAAAUACAAAUUGAAAAUAUGUAUCAGAACCCCAAGCAUUUGGGUCAGCCUUCUUAAUAUUUUUGCUUGAAAGUUAUUUUCAUAACCUUACACCUAGCUAGUGAGUAUCCUGCUAUUAAUUUACACUUAUAGUAGAUAACUCAACAUUAAGAGAGAAUCAAUUUACCUUUAAAAAAAAAAAAACUGCUCAAAAGAAAGGAUAAAGUUAACUGACAAGAGCUAUACCUAUCGAAUAUAAUUUUGUCGAGGUCGAUCCCAAUAGCUUUAUCAGCAGUUUUAGAUUCCUCGACUACCUAUCAAGGCCAAAAAUGAUAUUUAGGUUAAUAUUAGCAGAACAAAAACUAAAAAUAUCAAAAUUUUAAAAAACACAAACUUUCUUUUUUUUUUACGAAAAAGUAACAAAAACUUGACACAAAAAUAAACGAAAAAAGAAAUAAAACUAUUAGCAGAAAUUGACAGCUAAAACAGUGAAAUCGACGGCAGAAUUAAUAAAAUUGAUUGCCAAACGGUGAAAUUGAUGGCUUAAGUAGUGGAUCGACAGCUAAAAUCUGUAAUUUAAACUGAUCUUCGUCCAAUACACACAUGCACGCCUAAAAUCAAUGAAAUCAAUGGCUAAAUCAGUAAAAUCGAAACCUAAAUCUGUGAAAUUCACGGCUAAGAUCGGUGCUUUAAACUGAUAUCCAUUCAAUACACACACUUGCACGCCUUAAAUCAGUGAAAUCAACGGCAUUUUGGAAGGAAUUACACGAACGACUUGAAACAGGAGACGUAUUGAAGCGAGUAUUUAUCAGAAAAGGGCUGUUUAUAGACGAAUUCAAACGCAUUACCUUAAAUGAGUUGGAAUCUGAUCUCCUUACAUAAAAGCUAAAGGAUUUGGGAGGAUCGUUGGAUAUGACCUUAAACGAUUUGGGGGAAUCGUCUUUUUGAGAGAUAUAGAGAGCGAGAAGGGUAGAGGGGGCGUAUAGAGAGAGAAGACGUC
rnacentral:lncRNA from 1 species